rnacentral:rRNA from 1 species
AGUAGCGGCGAGCGAACACGGAAGANNCCAGCGCUGAAUCCCCCGGGCCGGAUCGGUCCGGCGGGAAAUGUAGCGUUAGGGAGCGCCCGUCAACCCGGCGCGCGCGCGGCGAGCUCAAGUCUCCCUUGAACGGUGCCACAGUCCACAGAGGGUGCCAGGCCCGUACUGCCGCCGCCGCGUCCGAGUGGGCGUCUCCUAGGAGUCGGUCUGUUUGAGAACGCAGACCUAAGCGGGUGGUAAACUCCAUCUAAGGCUAAAUACGACCACGAGACCGAUAGCGCACAAGUACCGUGAGGGAAAGGUGAAAAGAACUUUGAAGAGAGAGUUCAAGAGUACGUGAAACUGGAGAGGUGAAAACGGAAGUGGCUCGAAAUUCCGAACGGUGGUGUUCAGUCUCACCGACCCCGGCCCCGCCGCCCGAUCCUGGGAUCAAGGGUGUGGCGCUCGCGCGCGGCCGCUCCUCGUGGGCGGUCGUGUCGUGGCCCGCUCCCCCCUCGGGCGGUGUUGCUGGGCUCGGGGCGGUGUGGAUGCACUCGCUGCCGUAGUAGGAUGUCGCGACUCGUCGGGUGACGGUCGUGAGGCCGGUCGGGACAGCCCGGUGUCCGCGUGUCUCGCACCUCUGAGGUGAAACGCGAGCGGUGCGGCCCGGACCCGUCGCCGUGUCCUCUCCGUCUGCCCGACGGUAUCGAAAGAAAGCCGGCGCACACGCCGCCCUCUCAAACGGCCCCCCCGUAACAAAAAUGGGGCGGGCAGGGGCGGCUCUAUGUUGCGCGCCGGCUGUCUGCGGCAUUGCCUGAUUCGGGUCCACUUCCGACCCGUCUUGAAACACGGACCAAGGAGCGUAACACAUGCGCGAGUCGAAGGGUGCCACUAAACCCGGAGGCGAAGCGAAAGCGUAAGGGACGAUGGCAAAGCGUCGCGCUCUCCGGUCGGUCCGCCGCUCGUCGGCGGGCCCUCUCGGAUCCGGCCGGCCCGCAGUCCCGGGGCACCUCAUACGGGUCCCGCUGGAUCUGGCCCGUCAAACGGCCUCCUCCGGCUCGACUCGAGGCGCACCUGCGAGCGUAUGUGUUGUUACCCGAAAGAUGGUGAACUAUGCCUGGCCAGGACGAAGCCAGGGGAAACCCUGGUGGAAGUCCGUAGCGAUUCUGACGUGCAAAUCGAUCGUCGGAGCUGGGUAUAGGGGCGAAAGACUAAUCGAACCAUCUAGUAGCUGGUUCCCUCCGAAGUUUCCCUCAGGAUAGCUGGCGCUCGGAGUGUUACGAAACGGUGAGACGAGUCUCAUCCGGUAAAGCGAAUGAUUAGAGGCCUUGGGGUCGAAACGACCUCAACCUAUUCUCAAACUUUAAAUGGGUGAGAACCCCGGCUUGCUUGAGACCGGUGCGCCCGGUCCGUGGUCGCUGCCUCGCCCCCUCAGACGGGGAAGAACGGGCCCGCCGGGUCCCGGGUACUUCAACACGAUGAAGCCGGGGACUUGAUUUGUUAUCCGGAUCGUGAGUGCCAAGUGGGCCAAUUUUGGUAAGCAGAACUGGCGCUGUGGGAUGAACCAAACGCAGAGUUAAAGCGCCUAAAUCGACGCUCAUGGGAGACCAUGAAAGGUGUUGCUUGCUUAAGACAGCAGGACGGUGGCCAUGGAAGUCGGAAUCCGCUAAGGAGUGUGUAACAACUCACCUGCCGAAGCAACUAGCCCUUAAAAUGGAUGGAGCUGAAGCGUCGUGCUUAUACUCUGCCGCCGGUGGCAAAAGCGGCCGGUAAGGCGGACGGCCCCCGUCGGUGACGGGGAAACCGGCCCCGAGCCUUUGAGGCCCCGGUGAGUAGGAGGGUCGCUCGGGUGCGCGCAGAAAGGGUCUGGGCGCGAGCCUGCCCUGGGAGCCGCCCCGAGGUGCAGAUCUUGGUGGUAGUAGCAAAUACUCCAGAGAGGGCCCUGGAGGGCUGAUGCGGAGAAGGGUUCCGUGUGAACAGCUGUUGCACACGGGUCAGUCGAUCCUAAGCCCUAGGAGAACUCCUAUGUGCGAUGUGCGGGUGUACCAAUCGGUUUCGAACUGAUCGACCAUCCCGUCGCCGGGCGAAAGGGAAUCAGGUUCCUAUUCCUGAACCCAGAUGCGGUACCGUUCCACCGGGCUUGUCUCGAAGCCGUCCGCCCCGCGCGCGGGAAGUCCUCUCGCAGGCUCCUCCCGUCGCGGCAAGCGUGGCGCGCCUAGGGCGAACUCGUCGGGGUAACCCGAACAGCCGCGGAGAAGCCGGCAGGAGCCCCCGGGAGAGUUGUCUUUUCUGUAUUACCGCGCAAGUUCCCUGGAAUUCCAUUGCGGAGAGAGAGGGAAUAGCGCGGGAAGAGCACCGCACUUGCGGCGGUGUCGGGGGUGACCUCUCGG